rnacentral:lncRNA from 1 species
UUCAUGGUUAAUUUUGGGAUGUCCAACGGUACGGUUUGUGGAAACAUAAUGAUCGGUUACGAUAUGAAUUCCAUCCUAUGAAUGUUCUUGUGUAAUUCGAGAAUAGGUUCGAUCCAACGGUUGAUACGGAGUGUCCAUGUGUAUUUUGAAUAGGUCCAAUCCAACGGUUGAUACAGAGUGUCCAUAUGUAGUUUGAAUAGGUCCAAUCCAACGGUUGAUACAGAGUGUCCAUGAAUAGUUUGAAUAGGUCCUAUCCAACGGUUGAUAUGGGGUGUCCAAGUGAAUUGAUAUGUAUCCAAGAAUCAUGCUUUCUAUUCACAACGGUUUUUGUCGAUGGUGCCUACUUUUCAGGUUGCUGUUGCCAAUGGUGCCAAUAGUUCUAUAUACAUAUAUAUAAACCAAAAAAUAUAUAAAACCAGUAAUAUAUUAAACAAAAUUUGAAUGCAAGUCAUGCUCAUCAAGGUCAUAAUAUCUGCCAUAAAAGGGGGGUUUAGAUAAAGUCAUGUCUAAUAACCAAAAAUCAAGGGGUCAUAUUUACAUAUAUAUAUACA